AAACUCUGGAGACAGAGGCUUUGAAGGAAGCAGUAUUUAAAGCUGUGGGUAGUUACCAGCUGCCUUCACUAAAUGGAGUCCUUUUCUCACAUGUGGUGAAUGGAAGAAGUGACUGAGAUUUGCAUUUUUGGCUGGCGCUGGCUAAGAGGCAAGAAGCAGCACAGCAACUCAAACAGAAACAGCARGUCUGCGGCUCCGAGCACGGGGGAGGAAGGGGAAGCAGCGAGCACAUCGGCGAGGGGAAGGAUGUAACUAUGUGUCRCAGGGUGACUUUGUCUAGCAGGACCUACCUCCCAAGCCAAGCCCCACCAGUGGGCUGGAAAAGGCCUGGAAAAAACCCAGAGACUUCCAAAACAAACAAGAAAAGAGGCUCACUUGAUCAGUCUGAGUGCCAGCCCCACCCUGGGGUGUGGAAUAAACACAGUUCCACACUGGAUAUUUAAAGAAGACCAGAAUUAAAAUUGGUUCUUCGUUUGACAAAUGAGAAGCUAAGCACAACCAGUCCUGACUCAUGGUCAUGGAGCAUGGGUUUAAUCUGGGCUGCAUGUAACAGAGCUCAUUGACAUGGGCUCAGGGAUUGCUCGAGCACUGAUUUAGAGGUGAUACGAGCCAUGAAGUGCUCUGAUGGCAUGCUGUAGUUUCCUCUGGCUGGAACAUCAACAAAUAAAAUAGAAGAUGGCCACCUUGUCCUGGCA
rnacentral:lncRNA from 1 species